rnacentral:rRNA from 1 species
UUUAAAUUGAGAGUUUGAUCCUGGCUCAGGAUGAACGCUGGCGGCGUGCCUAAUACAUGCAAGUCGUACGCUAGCCGCUGAAUUGAUCCUUCGGGUGAAGUGAGGCAAUGACUAGAGUGGCGAACUGGUGAGUAACACGUAAGAAACCUGCCCUUUAGUGGGGGAUAACAUUUGGAAACAGAUGCUAAUACCGCGUAACAACAAAUCACACAUGUGAUCUGUUUGAAAGGUCCUUUUGGAUCGCUAGAGGAUGGUCUUGCGGCGUAUUAGCUUGUUGGUAGGGUAGAAGCCUACCAAAGCAAUGAUGCGUAGCCGAGUUGAGAGACUGGCCGGCCACAUUGGGACUGAGACACUGCCCAAACUCCUACGGGAGGCUGCAGUAGGGAAUUUUCCGCAAUGCACGAAAGUGUGACGGAGCGACGCCGCGUGUGUGAUGAAGGCUUUCGGGUCGUAAAGCACUGUUGUAAGGGAAGAAUAACUGAAUUCAGAGAAAGUUUUCAGCUUGACGGUACCUUACCAGAAAGGGAUGGCUAAAUACGUGCCAGCAGCCGCGGU